UACGGAGGGUGCAAGCGUUAUCCGGAUUUACUGGGUUUAAAGGGUGCGUAGGUGGGUCUGUAAGUCAGUGGUGAAAUCUUCGAGCUUAACUCGGAAACUGCCAUUGAUACUAUUUAUCUUGAAUACUUUGGAGGUAAGCGGAAUAUGUCAUGUAGCGGUGAAAUGCUUAGAUAUGACAUAGAACACCAAUUGCGAAGGCAGCUUACUACACAGUUAUUGACACUGAGGCACGAAAGCGUGGGGAUCAAACAGG
rnacentral:rRNA from 1 species